CGUCAGCCCACGGGGAGAGGACCGCGCUAGUCACCGCAGUAGCGCCAGGGCCGGCGACGGCGGCUGACACACGUGCUGAACGGGCAGAGCGCGGGGACCCCAGGCCGCUCGGCCACAGAAGCCCAGCCCACUCGCCGGCUCUAGGACGCUGUUGCCCGAGCAACGGCGACACUCGUUGAUUGGAAUAGGAGUCUGCGCACCCGACAAGGAGAGCAGCUCCGAUUGGCUAAGCCGUUUGCAGAAAGGAAGCCGAGGCUCAGAGCGGGGUCUUCUGUCCCGGGACACGCAGCUGGUCUAUGGCAGAACCGGAGUUAGAACCAAGGCAGGCCAGGCCCUGCUCUCCGUUGUCGGGGAGAAGGGACCAGAGGGGCAGCCUUGCUGAGGAGCCCCCUGCACCCAUUUCUGGCGGCGGCGAAGCGAUCGUCCGCUGUCACGCUGGGCAACCUGACUGCACAUCGCGGGGAAGCUGGUCUUCUUCUCACCGAGGGGUACUGCCAUCUUCUCUUGCUCAGACCUCCCGCACCCUCCCUCCCCAUCCCCGGCACCUGGCCUCACCUCCAGUCCCCUGGACUCCAAACGACUGGAGCACACUGUUGUCUCGCAGCCUCUUAGACGCCCAUCUCUUCUGCCCUUCUUCCAGCCUCUCCACGUAUGUCCUCAGUCCCACCCCCCACCCCCACCCCCACCCCCCAGUGGCCUUCUCAGAGACUUCAUUGCUUAGGUCAGCCAGUGCUCAACAAUGUGCCCUGGGAACCGCUGGCGGUCCUGAGACCCUUUCAGGGAGUCCAUAAUCGUCCAAACUGUUCCCAUAGUAAUACGAAGGUGGGACUCGCCUUUUCACUCUUACUUUCUCGUGAGGGGUGCGGUAGGGUUUUCUAGAAGCUACACGAUGUGUGACACUGCAACAGAUUGAAUGCAGACGGAGAUGGGAGAUUCCAGCUGUCUUCUCUUAAGUCAGACAUUAAAGAGAUUUGCAAAAAUA